rnacentral:rRNA from 1 species
CGACCCCAGGUCAGACGGGACU